GUCUGGUGGGUAGUUUGACUGGGGCGGUCUCCUCCUAAAGCGUAACGGAGGAGCACGAAGGUUGGCUAAUCCUGGUCGGACAUCAGGAGGUUAGUGCAAUGGCAUAAGCCAGCUUGACUGCGAGCGUGACGGCGCGAGCAGGUGCGAAAGCAGGUCAUAGUGAUCCGGUGGUUCUGAAUGGAAGGGCCAUCGCUCAACGGAUAAAAGGUACUCCGGGGAUAACAGGCUGAUACCGCCCAAGAGUUCAUAUCGACGGCGGUGUUUGGCACCUCGAUGUCGGCUCAUCACAUCCUGGGGCUGAAGUAGGUCCCAAGGGUAUGGCUGUUCGCCAUUUAAAGUGGUACGCGAGCUGGGUUUAGAACGUCGUGAGACAGUUCGGUCCCUAUCUGCCGUGGGCGCUGGAGAACUGAGGGGGGCUGCUCCUAGUACGAGAGGACCGGAGUGGACGCAUCACUGGUGUUCGGGUUGUCAUGCCAAUGGCACUGCCCGGUAGCUAAAUGCGGAAGAGAUAAGUGCUGAAAGCAUCUAAGCACGAAACUUGCCCCG
rnacentral:rRNA from 1 species